CUUGCCUCUCUCGCUCCACCUUAAACUCUCUGUGUCUCGACCAAUCCACCCGGCCAUCAUCUCCGGAGACUGCAACAGACGACAACUACUCAGUCUCCGGCUCGAUCUCCGCCUCUCCGCCGCGGUAACAGCCUUGUCUCCGGCUCGAACUCCCUCUCCGUCACUCACAGCCUUGUCUCCGGCUCGAUCUCCCUCUUUACCGCUCACAGCCUUGUCUCCGGCUCGAUCUCCGCCUCCGCCGCUUACAGCCUUGUCUCCGCCUCUCCGGUUUAAUCUUCUGAUAGAUGGAGGGAAGAAAGGUUUCUGAGAACCAUUUGACUUCAGCCGCAGCGUUUGUGGAAGGUGGAGUUCAGGAUGCUUGCAGCAUAUGCCUUGAAGCGCUUUCCGACAAUGAUCCUCUUUGUCACAACAUGACCUUUUUAUCAUCCUUGAUUAAGUCAAAUUACUUCAGCAGAGUAAUAUGCCUUUGACGUUGUAUUGGCUUCUUUAGUAAUAUUCUUAAUUGAUUUGAGCCUUUUGAAAUUGCAGGUAUCCUUUCCUUCCAGUAAUGGGAUAUCAAUAUAGCACAUCUCCCAUUCUCUCUAAGGAUGAUUACACACAUUUGCUCCAAAGAGUGAUGAAGGAAUACAUAACCUUUCCUAUUUUGUUGUCUAACAAGAAUUUUCCUAAGAUUACCGGUGGGACAUGUUGCAUCAUUAUCAGGGGCCUUAAGAGUCCUAUAAUCUACCAAGGGAAGGAAGUGGAUUUCAUGAUUCUUGACGAUGAUUUUGGGUCACCCCUACUUGUAAACAUAUGGAUAUGUAUAUGUGGGCGAAGACUCUCCAGGAGACGACCAAUAUGGUAUAGUUGAAGUUGAAGGUGAGAAAGCUGAAGCAGUGUCUAUGGACCACAAAGACGACCAAAACCGCAAAGAAAGGAGUUCCACAUUUCUGGCUUAUUGUUAUGGAGUAUAAUGAAGUGUUAGCUGAAGAGAGUGAAGUGGAGUUGAAGGAUCCUACAAAGCUUAGUAAUCAAUUUGCCCUUGAGCAUGUUGGCAAGAGUUUAACAGGAAGAAGUGGUAGUCUUCAAGUCAGGUCUAAUGAACAGCCACUUCAACUUGCAACACAAGAUGUAAAUCAGGUACAGCUUCCAUGUUAGCAGCACUGUAGUAAUUGAUGUCGUGUCCUGGGCUAUUUUUUUCUUGGAAAAAGAAGAAUUAUAAGCUAUGCAAAGAUUAGAUAGUGCAUUAUUUGAAUGUUUUGAAAAUGUAUUUUGGAUGGUGAAACAAUUGCUACAAUCUUAUUAGCAUGUUUAGCCUAAUAUUUUGACAAAUGUAUUUUUGAUGGUGAAACAAUUGCUACACCUUGAUUUAAAUGAUUGAUUA